rnacentral:rRNA from 1 species
UACGUAGGUUGCGAGCGUUAUUCGGAUUUACUGGGCGUAAAGAGCACCGAGGUGGCUUCUUAAGUUGGAUGUGAAAUCUCCCGCUUAACUGGGAGGCGCCAUUCAAAACUGGGGAGCUUGAGGUCAGCAGGGGAAAGUGGAAUUCCCGGUGUAGUGGUGGAAUGCGUAGAGAUCGGGAGGAACACCAGUGGCGAAAGCGACUUUCUGGGCUGCACCUGACACUCUAGUGCGAAAGCGUGGGGAGCAAACAGG